rnacentral:lncRNA from 10 species
UUGUUAACUGAUCUUCUUCAUUUUUUUAGAUGGUUGGAAUCCAUUUUCGUACCCAUACAAAAAACUGGAUUAUGGAAAAUGGGAGCUGUAUAUCCCACCAAAGCAGAAUAAAUCUGUACUCGUGCCUCAUGGAUCCAAAUUAAAGAACUUCCAGAACUCGGGACAACUCAGCUAUUAAAGGAUUAACAGCUGGCAAAUACUCUGUGGCCAUCAUCUCAUCUGAUUGGUAGAAACAAAAAAUAUACAUGUUGUUAAAAUAUGUUGGGUUUAUGUGUACAUAUAUCAAAACAUUGUUUUACACCUUGAAUAUAUACAAUUUUUGUUAAUUAUAACUCAAUAAAGCUGAAAUUUUAAAAGUGAAAUAAAAAAGAAGUGGAAGUAGUAUUUUUCUAUAAAUUAGAAAUCACUUGUUUGAUAAUUCACUUUGACCUGUAGCCUAUCAAAUAGUUAUCUUGAUCAAUAUGUUUUUUUUCACUCUGCUUUAAGCAAAAAUUUUUUAAAGAAAAGCUUCUCCUCACAACAUUAGGAGAUAUUUGUAGUAUAAUUGGGGCAAUUUGAAUUAUAUGAU